GAUGAACGCUGGCGGCGUGCCUAAUACAUGCAAGUCGAGCGAACAGACGAGGAGCUUGCUCCUCUGACGUUAGCGGCGGACGGGUGAGUAACACGUGGAUAACCUACAUAUAAGACUGGGAUAACUUCGGGAAACCGGAGCUAAUACCGGAUAAUAUAUUGAACCGCAUGGUUCAAUAGUGAAAGACGGUUUUGCUGUCACUUAUAGAUGGAUCCGCGCCGCAUUAGCUAGUUGGUAAGGUAACGGCUUACCAAGGCGACGAUGCGUAGCCGACCUGAGAGGCUGAUCAGCCACACUGGAACUGAGACACGGUCCAGACUCCUACGGGAGGCAGCAGUGGGGAAUGUUGGGCAAUGGGCGCAUGCCUGAUCCAGCCAUACCGCGUGGGUGAAGAAGGUCUUCGGGUUGUAAAGCCCUUUUGUUGGGAAAGAACAGCAGCAGGUUAAUACCCCGCUGUUAUGACGGUACCUAAAGAAUAAGCAACGGCUAACUUCGUG
rnacentral:rRNA from 1 species